AUUGAACGCUGGCGGUAGGCCUAACACAUGCAAGUCGAACGGCAGCACAGUAAGAGCUUGCUCUUACGGGUGGCGAGUGGCGGACGGGUGAGGAAUACAUCGGAAUCUACUUUUUCGUGGGGGAUAACGUAGGGAAACUUACGCUAAUACCGCAUACGACCUACGGGUGAAAGCAUGGGAUCUUCGGACCUUGCGCGAUUGAAUGAGCCGAUGUCGGAUUAGCUAGGUGGCGGGGUAAAGGCCCACCAAGGCGACGAUCCGUAGCUGGUCUGAGAGGAUGAUCAGCCACACUGGAACUGAGACACGGUCCAGACUCCUACGGGAGGCAGCAGUGGGGAAUAUUGGACAAUGGGCGCAAGCCUGAUCCAGCCAUGCCGCGUGUGUGAAGAAGGCCUUCGGGUUGUAAAGCCCUUUUGUUGGGAAAGAAAAGCAGCAGGUUAAUACCCCGCUGUUCUGACGGUACCAAAAGAAUAAGCACCGGCUAACUUCGUG
rnacentral:rRNA from 1 species